rnacentral:misc_RNA from 1 species
CAUCCCCUGUUCACACUACACGGC